CUUGACCGACCCCAGCCACAAGGGCACCUCACGGUCCUGGCCGUAGGUGGCCAGCAGGGCCUGUGCCUC
rnacentral:antisense_RNA from 1 species